UACAGAGGUCUCAAGCGUUGUUCGGAAUUACUGGGCGUAAAGGGCGCGUAGGCGGUACUUCAAGUCAGGCGUGAAAGCCCCGGGCUCAACCUGGGAACCGCGCUUGAGACUGGAGAACUAGAGUUCGGGAGAGGAUGGUGGAAUUCCCAGUGUAGAGGUGAAAUUCGUAGAUAUUGGGAAGAACACCGAUGGCGAAGGCAGCCAUCUGGACCGACACUGACGCUGAGGCGCGAAAGCGUGGGGAGCAAACAGG
rnacentral:rRNA from 1 species